UGGGGAAUCUUGCACAAUGGGGGCAACCCUGAUGCAGCGACGCCGCGUGAGCGAUGAAGGUUUUCGAACCGUAAAGCUCUGUCCUAUGGGAAGAUAAUGACGGUACCAUAGGAGGAAGCCCCGGCUAACUACGUGCCAGCAGCCGCGGUAAUACGUAGGGGGCUAGCGUUGUCCGGAAUCACUGGGCGUAAAGGGUUCGCAGGCGGAAAUGCAAGUCAGGUGUAAAAGGCAGUAGCUUAACUACUGUAAGCAUUUGAAACUGCAUAUCUUGAGAAGAGUAGAGGUAAGUGGAAUUUUUAGUGUAGCGGUGAAAUGCGUAGAUAUUAAAAAGAAUACCGGUGGCGAAGGCGACUUACUGGGCUCAUUCUGACGCUGAGGAACGAAAGCGUGGGUAGCAAACAGG
rnacentral:rRNA from 1 species